UCUACAGAGUUAAGAUUCUAAAUAUAAAUUUCAGAAUUCAAAUUUGAAUUUUCAAAAUGAAUUUCAACAAGUUGUUCUUCUUUGCUUGUGUCUGCGUCAUGGCUUUGACUACAGUAUUUGCUGCGCCGAAUCCGAGGUGGAACCCUUUUAAGAAACUGGAGAGAGUGGGACAGAACAUCCGUGACGGUAUAAUCAAGGCAGGACCAGCCGUGCAGGUGGUGGGACAAGCUGCCACCAUCUACAAGGGGGGGAAAUAACCACCACAUCCUCAUAGCAAAGUAUUACUUCUAAACUUGACUGAUUCAUUGAGAAAUUCUGCCUAAUGUAUAAUUAAAUAUAAUAAUUUAUUUUAAUUGUAAGUGAUAUUGAAUAAACAUAAAAUUUUGAGAUUUA